CCUGCAGAAUGAAACACACUGAAGAUACUGAAGAACAAACAGAGUUGAUUGAAGAAAACGAGGAGAAAGAAGAAUUGAGUGAAUUUGAGGAGGAAAGUCAUGUUAAAACUAGUGACUUUCAAACCAAACAGAAAGAUUUAAAGAAAAGAAGAGCCAAGAAAUCUUUCACCUGCACUCAGUGUGGGAAGAGUUUGACUAACAAACGUCAUCUUGAGCUUCAUAUGAGAGUUCAUACUGGAGGGAAGCUGUAUGCAUGUGAUCAAUGCGGCAACACAUUUUUGUGGGCUUCAGACCUGAAGAAACACCUGAACGUUCAUACGAAGGAGAAGCCACAUUCAUGUUAUUUGUGUGG